GAUGAACGCUGGCGGCGUGCUUAACACAUGCAAGUCGAACGAUGAAGCCCAGCUUGCUGGGUGGAUUAGUGGCGAACGGGUGAGUAACACGUGAGUAACCUGCCCUUGACUCUGGGAUAAGCCUGGGAAACUGGGUCUAAUACUGGAUAUGACUUCUCAUCGCAUGGUGGGGGGUGGAAAGAUUUAUUGGUCUUGGAUGGACUCGCGGCCUAUCAGCUUGUUGGUGAGGAAAUGGCUCACCAAGGCGACGACGGGUAGCCGGCCUGAGAGGGUGACCGGCCACACUGGGACUGAGACACGGCCCAGACUCCUACGGGAGGCAGCAGUGGGGAAUAUUGCACAAUGGGCGCAAGCCUGAUGCAGCGACGCCGCGUGAGGGAUGACGGCCUUCGGGUUGUAAACCUCUUUCAGUAGGGAAGAAGCGAGAGUGACGGUACCUGCAGAAGAAGCGCCGGCUAACUACGUG
rnacentral:rRNA from 1 species